rnacentral:rRNA from 1 species
CAGUCGCCGCGGUAAUACAGAGGAUGCAAGCGUUAUCCGGAAUGAUUGGGCGUAAAGCGUCUGUAGGUGGCUUUUCAAGUCCGCCGUCAGAUCCCAGGGCUCAACCCUGGACAGGCGGUGGAAACUACCAAGCUGGAGUACGAUAGGGGCAGAGGGAAUUUCCGGUGGAGCGGUGAAAUGCGUAGAGAUGUGGAGGAACACCAGUGGCGAAGGCGACUCUCUGGUCUGUAACUGACGCUGAGGAGCGAAAGCGUGGGGAGCGAACAGGAUUAGAUACCCGUGUAGUCCCUGUCUCUUAUAC